GGCCUAUCGGAGAUGCUACUGCCCUCUCUACAGAUGUGUCUGAAAUGCCUGCCCAAGGAUGGCCCUUAGCCAGUUAACAGCUUUAUAGCCCAUCCUCAUUGCUUACUGCCACCCCUCAGCUGGGGUCCAAGGCAGUACUAUUCAGUUUAUUCACCAGACCUGCCUCCAGACAUCUACUUCUUUCAAAAAUUAGUGUUUUCCAUCAAGGAGCAUGUUCCAGAGCAUUUCCCAGAGAUGUCCCAAAGAACACUGUCCGGUGCUGUGGCGUACAGUGGCAACAGCAUUAGACUAAGUGGAACAUCCCAGCAGGCUGCUUUAGAAUCCGCUCAUUUGACUAGAUACGAUGUAAUUGGCUGUCUUUAAAAAACGCGCACACACACACAAUCUGAUAGGCAUAUCUCAUGCCCAUUCAAUAUGGAAUGUUCUUCGCUUGCUGAAUUUAAGCCUGUAUUUUAAGGUUUUGUGGUUCCUCGGCCACAAUGGGUGAUGUCACUGAUAGAACGAAGCUGAGUUUCCAAGGGUUUGGGGCUGUGCAAGAGUAAACACUAGAGCUUGAGUUGUUAUCCAGCUGGCAAGCACGGAAGUCUUUGAAGAAUGUAAUGUAAAAAGGGAAAAGAAUGUAAAGCUUUUUGUACCAAAUGAGAGUUGGAGCCCAGCCAACAAAUGCUUUUCCCUGUGUAAAAGUCUCUCUGGAAGGGACAUUCCAUCUCCAUGGUGCACUCUGAGGGGCACUGUCAACUAGAGAUUGGCCCCAUCCAGGUGGGAGGAACCCCUUUGGGAUGGUGAGUAUCCAAUCUGCUGUGCAUUUGACAGGAUCUCUGAAUGGCUAGGUAAUGGAUCCCAAGCAGGCUCACAAAUUUAAAUGAGGGCUUUGUGUGCAGAAAGAGGAAUAAGUACAGAUUAUUUUCCUACCACUAGAUUUUUGGGGAGAGUCACCAUGGAAUGUUGACAAUUACUUAAAAUAUUUUAAGCUCCCUUGCUGAAUUCCUGUCCUGUCCCUGAGGAAUCAGAUGGUCAUACAGCCAUAGGCACCCACCCGAAAUUUCCCUAGGAGUUGGAGUAAUGCUAGAAUUGAAGACCUUCUGAGUAAAGGGCUUCUCUGCCUUCUCAGAGGCAGGAGAAUUUGCACUGGUUGUGUUAAAUGUAUAAAAAGCUAUAUGUUCACCAGUUUACUCAUUUCCAAUGUGUAGAUGAAUAAAAUGUAGUGUACAAAUUAUUUGAAAAUCCCAGAAGGAAGGUACUUUUCAAAUACAGUAUUUUUUUUAACAAAUAAACUUACGAUUUU
rnacentral:lncRNA from 1 species